UACGUAGGCAGCAAGCGUUGUUCGGAGUUACUGGGCGUAAAGAGUGUGUAGGCGGUGCUCCCAGUCUGUUGUGAAAUCUCCCGGCUUAACUGGGAGGGUGCAGCGGAAACUAGAGUGCUAGAGGGUGGGAGAGGUAAGCGGAAUUCCUGGUGUAGCGGUGAAAUGCGUAGAUAUCUGGAGGAACACCGGUGGCGAAGGCGGCAUCCUGGACCGAUACUGACGCUGAGGAGCGAAAGCGUGGGGAGCAAACAGG
rnacentral:rRNA from 1 species